UGUUCUGUGGCUUAGAUGGUUGAAGUGCCGGACUGGCGAAACGGGUCGCGGGUUCGAAUCCCAUCAAAACGA
rnacentral:tRNA from 1 species